UACUCCCGCCGGCGUCCGGCGCACGGGUGAGUAACACGUAUGAAACCUGCCCGUAGCAGGGGGAUAAGCGGAAGAAAUUCCGUCUAAUACCGCGUAACAACCCGAGGAGGCAUCUCCUCGGGUUUAAAGGAAGCGAUUCCGGCUACGGAUGGUCAUGCGUCGCAUUAGCUAGUUGGCGGGGUAACGGCCCACCAAGGCGACGAUGCGUAGGGGUUCUGAGAGGAAGGUCCCCCACACUGGUACUGAGACACGGACCAGACUCCUACGGAAGGCAGCAG
rnacentral:rRNA from 1 species